rnacentral:rRNA from 1 species
UACAGAGGUCUCGAGCGUUAGGCGGAAUCACUGGGCUUAAAGCGUGUGUAGGCGGAUCGGUAAGUACCUUGUGAAAUCCCACAGCUUAACUGUGGAACUGCUUGGUAUACUGCCGGUCUUGAGCCAGCUAGGGGCUACCGGAACAAAUGGUGGAGCGGUGAAAUGCGUAGAUAUCAGGAGGAACACCGGUGGCGAAGGCGGGUCUCUGGGCAGUAACUGACGCUGAGGAGCGAAAGCGUGGGGAGCGAACAGG